rfam:Ictidomys tridecemlineatus contig094246, whole genome shotgun sequence.
UAUAGCUCAGUGGUACAACACUUGCCUGACAUGCAUGAGGCCCUGGGUUUAAUUCCCAGUA